rnacentral:tRNA from 1 species
GGUGCUGUGGCGCAGUGGUUAAAGCCCCAGCCUGCAGAGCUGGCAUCCCAUAUGGGCUCCGGUUCGAGUUCCGGCUGCUCCU